AGAGUUUGAUCCUGGCUCAGAUUGAACGCUGGCGGCAUGCCUUACACAUGCAAGUCGAACGGCAGCACGAGAGCUUGCUCUUGGUGGCGAGUGGCGAACGGGUGAGUAAUAUAUCGGAACGUACCCUAGAGUGGGGGAUAACGUAGCGAAAGUUACGCUAAUACCGCAUACGAUCUACGGAUGAAAGUGGGGGAUCGCAAGACCUCAUGCUCAUGGAGCGGCCGAUAUCUGAUUAGCUAGUUGGUGGGGUAAAAGCUCACCAAGGCGACGAUCAGUAGCUGGUCUGAGAGGACGACCAGCCACACUGGAACUGAGACACGGUCCAGACUCCUACGGGAGGCAGCAGUGGGGAAUUUUGGACAAUGGGCGCAAGCCUGAUCCAGCAAUGCCGCAUGAGUGAAGAAGGCCUUCGGGUUGUAAAGCUCUUUUGUCAGGGAAGAAACGGUGGACUCUAAUACAGAUCACUAAUGACGGUACCUGAAGAAUAAGCACCGGCUAACUACGUGCCAGCAGCCGCGGUAAUACGUAGGGUGCAAGCGUUAAUCGGAAUUACUGGGCGUAAAGCGUGCGCAGGCGGUUGUGCAAGACAGAUGUGAAAUCCCCGGGCUCAACCUGGGAAUUGCAUUUGUGACUGCACGGCUAGAGUGUGUCAGAGGGGGGUAGAAUUCCACGUGUAGCAGUGAAAUGCGUAGAGAUGUGGAGGAAUACCGAUGGCGAAGGCAGCCCCCUGGGAUAACACUGACGCUCAUGCACGAAAGCGUGGGGAGCAAACAGGAUUAGAUACCCUGGUAGUCCACGCCCUAAACGAUGUCUACUAGUUGUCGGGUCUUAAUUGACUUGGUAACGCAGCUAACGCGUGAAGUAGACCGCCUGGGGAGUACGGUCGCAAGAUUAAAACUCAAAGGAAUUGACGGGGACCCGCACAAGCGGUGGAUGAUGUGGAUUAAUUCGAUGCAACGCGAAAAACCUUACCUACCCUUGACAUGUCUGGAAUCCUUGAGAGAUCAGGGAGUGCUCGAAAGAGAAUCAGAACACAGGUGCUGCAUGGCUGUCGUCAGCUCGUGUCGUGAGAUGUUGGGUUAAGUCCCGCAACGAGCGCAACCCUUGUCAUUAGUUGCUACGAAAGGGCACUCUAAUGAGACUGCCGGUGACAAACCGGAGGAAGGUGGGGAUGACGUCAAGUCCUCAUGGCCCUUAUGGGUAGGGCUUCACACGUCAUACAAUGGUACAUACAGAGGGCCGCCAACCCGCGAGGGGGAGCUAAUCCCAGAAAGUGUAUCGUAGUCCGGAUUGUAGUCUGCAACUCGACUACAUGAAGUUGGAAUCGCUAGUAAUCGCGGAUCAGCAUGUCGCGGUGAAUACGUUCCCGGGUCUUGUACACACCGCCCGUCACACCAUGGGAGCGGGUUUCACCAGAAGUGGGUAGCCUAACCGCAAGGAGGGCGCUCACCACGGUGGGAUUCGUGACUGGGGUGAAGUCGUAACAAGGUA
rnacentral:rRNA from 1 species